rnacentral:misc_RNA from 1 species
UCCGGUUUGGCACCGGCAGUCCUCCCAGAGUCCCCGCCAUGACGCGCUGGCAACUGGGAGCGGGGGUUGCGCUCGUUGCGGGACUUAACCCAACAUCUCACGACACGAGCUGACGACAGCCAUGCACCACCUAUCGCAGGCCCCGAAGGACACCAUAUUUCUACGGCUUUUCCCGCAUAGUUCAACCCAGGUAAGGUUCUUCGCGUUGCAUCGAAUUAAGCCACAUACUCCACCGCUUGUGCAGGCCCCCGUCAAUUUCUUUGAGUUUUAAUCUUGCGACCGUACUUCCCAGGCGGCACGUUUAUCGCGUUAGCUUCGCCACAAAAGGGGUCGAUUCCUCUUACAGCAAACGUGCACCGUUUAGGGCCGGGACUAC